rnacentral:rRNA from 1 species
UGGGGAAUAUUGGACAAUGGGCGCAAGCCUGAUCCAGCCAUGCCGCGUGAGUGAUGAAGUCCCUAGGGUUGUAAAGCUCUUUCACCGGUGAAGAUAAUGACGGUAACCGGAGAAGAAGCCCCGGCUAACUUCGUGCCAGCAGCCGCGGUAAUACGAAGGGGGCUAGCGUUGUUCGGAUUUACUGGGCGUAAAGCGCACGUAGGCGGACUAUUAAGUCAGGGGUGAAAUCCCGGGGCUCAACCCCGGAACUGCCUUUGAUACUGGUAGUCUUGAAUUCGAGAGAGGUGAGUGGAAUUCCGAGUGUAGAGGUGAAAUUCGUAGAUAUUCGGAGGAACACCAGUGGCGAAGGCGGCUCACUGGCUCGAUACUGGCGCUGAGGUGCGAAAGCGUGGGGAGCAAACAGG